rnacentral:lncRNA from 10 species
UCCAAAGAAACAAAGAAGGACAUCAAAAAAUAAUAGAUUCAUUCACAGGGAAUCUAUGACAAAUUUGUGUGUGUGUGUGUGUGUGUGUGUGUGUGUGUCUCACAUUAGGGUUCCAAGUAUAUAAAGCAAAUAUUGACAGAAUGGAAGAAACACACAGAAAGCAAUAUAAUUAGAACAAUAUAUUUUAAUACCACACUUUUUGUAAUAAAACUAAAACAAGAAAGAAUGUUAAUAAAAGAACAGACUACUUAAAGGCAGUAUAAAACAAUUAUUCCAAACAGAGUUAUGGAGAACACUCCUCAACAACAUCAGAAUACACACCCUUCUCAAUAGCUCAUACAACAUUUCCCUUGAAAGACCACAUCUUAGGACAAAAAGGAAGUCUUAUCAAAUUUUUUAAAAGUAAAUUUCUAUGAACUACAUUCUAUGACCAAAAUGGAAUGAGAAUAUACAACGAUAAAAGCAAAAAAAAAAAACUGAAAAAUUUACAAAUAUAUAGAAACUAAACAACACACUCUUGAGUGUGCUCUUACACAAAGGUUGAAAUACUUAAUAUUGCAGAGUCCAUCCUGCUCAAUGCAAUCUACAGAUUUAAUGCAAUAUUUUUCAAAUUUCUCAUUGCAUUUUUGAAGAAAUAGAAACACCAACCUCAAAAGUAUACAGAGACUCAAAAGAAAAACAAACUACCCAACAAUAUUAAAAAAAAAAAAAGAAAGAAAGAAUGCUGCAGGCAUUAAAGUGCCUGAUUCAAAACACAUUACAAAGCUACCAAAUUAAACAAUUUGAUAUGAGUAUAAAGGUGAAAAAGUAGACUAAUAAAAUAGAAUGCAGCACAUAUAUAAACUUUCACAUAUAUGGUCAUAUAAGUAGUCAUUUAUAGACUCAUAAUUAUUGCAGCAUUUUUUUUUUUUUUUUUUUUAGAAACUGAUGUUUAUUUUCCAUCAACCAUUUUUCCAUGCUGCUUAAGAGCCUAUGCAAGAACAGCUUAAGACCAGUCAGUGGUUGCUCCUACCCCUUCAGACCAGUCUGCAACCUCA